CUACACACGUCAUACAAUGGCUGGUACAAAGGGUUGCAACCGCAGGGGAGCCAAUCCCAUAAAGCCAGUCGUAGUCCGGAUCGUAGUCUGCAACUCGACUACGUGAAGUCGGAAUCGCUAGUAAUCGUGGAUCAGAAUGUCACGGUGAAUACGUUCCCGGGUCUU
rnacentral:rRNA from 1 species